UACGUAGGGGGCAAGCGUUGUCCGGAUUUAUUGGGCGUAAAGAGCGUGUAGGCGGCCAGGUAGGUCCGCUGUGAAAACUCGAGGCUCAACCUCGAGAUGUCGGCGGAAACCAUCUGGCUAGAGUCCGGAAGAGGAAAGUGGAAGUUCCCGGUGUAGCGGUGAAAUGCGUAGAGAAUCCGGAGGAACACCAGUGGCGAAGGCGGCUGGCUGGACCUGACCUGACGCUGAGGCGCGAAGGCGUGGGGAGCGAACGGG
rnacentral:rRNA from 1 species